rnacentral:lncRNA from 1 species
AUGUCGAUUUCCAUUUCCAAUUAAGGACCUACACAAGGUAGUCCAACUUGUGCCGCCUAGCUGCCGGUGGUAGUACCAACAUUCCCCCUCGAGGAACGGGACUGUCCCACACGACCCUACAGGCGCCUCGCCGCCUAGCUGCCCGUGGUAGCACAUCAUCCCAAGCUGGAAGAAAGCUGUCCCACGCGACCCUACAGGCGUCUCAAUCCCGUACGCGGGAACUGCGUCGCAAAAAGGCCAACUCCGGAGUGCCGGCUUGUAGUGAGCAACCCUCACAAGCAUGUGCGAAUGAGCACAAAUGGCAAGCAAGCAAAGUCAUCAUCUCAACGAUCCGGUCAUCAUGGCUCUACCAUGGAAAUGAACGCUAGCAACUAAUAGGUCUAGUCCAAUGUCCCAAGUGAAGGUUUAACCAUUCAUUAUGUCCAAUGCCCCUUUAUGGCAUUACAUCUUACUAUGCCCAAAUCUUGUUCCAACACUAAUGCCACUUCAUGACAUUAGGAUUACUAAGUCUACACAUAUUCCAAGCCCAAUGCCUCUUAAUGACAUUAGCUUACUAUAUCAAUUCCGAGCUUAUGCCUCUUUAUGACAUUAGCUUUCCUUAUCCAUAUCUAGUCCAAGAAUGUAAUGCGCUUGUCAUUUUCACUAUAUGAAACAUGAUCCAAAUCCACACAUAAGGAUGCUAUCCAUAGGCCCCAGCCCAACAUGCAAACCCUCUACUACAUAGAGGUUCAAAAAUAUAUUAUACAUAACAUGUGCCUUUUAAGCAUUCUAAAAUUCUCAAUUAUUC